UAGAGCCGGCCCAGAAGGCACGCUGCCAAAGAAGGCGCAAAGCAAAAAAAUGGUCCGCUUACAUCUCCUUGGAUACGAAUAGCGUCAUGCACUUACGCGGCGUGGCGGUGUUACGCGCUGCACGUCGUGCCUAUCCGCACGUCGCCAUCACGGGUCGGUGCUUCCUCUUGAAGCCUCGCCGGCAUGCGCCUCUUUCGACGCCGAGCCAGCAAGAGUCGUUAUCCUUACUGCACGACAUGGAGUGCGUGGAGCUGACGCCGUCGGAGUCGGGCACGAUCAACCGGCGCGGUGCUGUUCCUGCAAAUCUCGCCGGUAACAGCUACUACGCGCGGCGGUACAGCACCCAGGGUGGCGCACGUCGCGGCACCUUGGACGCGACAGAGCCCCAUGUGCAGUUUCACAGCGGCGACCUGGUGCUGUACCUGCGUCUCUCUGCAGUGCCACGAGAGUUGUCCAACAAACGCAUCGUGGAUGUGACAGGCAUACAGACAAGUUUUCACAACGUCUCUGAGCGACACAGCAAAGCCCUCGCCACGGUCGAGGAAGCGAUGCAGACAAUGCACCUACACGACGGGCAUGAGGUGCCUGCUCUGCAGCGUGGUGACGUGAACCUCGUACGAUUGCUGCCGAGGUGCGUGUACAUCUCCCCGGCGCCGCCACACUCUUCUGCCGCAGGUGAAGCUGUUACAGUGGACCUGAGACACCUGUCCUCCGCACUUCGACCGCUGAGCAACCCAGAUGUGCUUUUGGCACAGGCGCGGCGGCUGUCCUUCCGGUCUGAGAUGGAAGCCGUGCAAACGGCGCAGGUCAUGGCAUCGUUUGUUACGGAGCUGAGAGGCGGCGGCGCUGUGCCUGGAGGUUGUGGAUCUUCUGUUGGUGUCUUAGGCUCCGCAGCGGUGCUGAGACCGGUGGUGCGCGACGGCUACUUAGUUGCCAUGACGCUGUGUCCUCCCCGCGACACCGCUCGAGGGUCCAGGAGACGCUGAGCAGAGGCGAAACGAUGAUUUGCAAGGAUCACCAAAGGCGAUGACCUCAGCAACUGCGCGAGGAGCCACACCUUCUUUGACGCGACACGUGCCUUUCUCAGUGUUUGUGCGUGGGUGCACGAAUGAUUUUGGGCAAGCUGUUGCGUCCAUCUCUAUUGGCAGUCAUUCCUAGAGGAAAUCGUUCUCUCAUGCUUGUAACUCUGCUGAAUGUAUCCCACUGCGUUGCCGUGGAGGCGCUGUCGCACCAAAUGCAGGAGGACGGAGGUGACGCUCUUAGAAGCGUGUGCGCGUUGUGCUGUCGUAUGCACGCGCGCACGCGCCCUCCCCGUCUUCUCCAUUUCUUCUACCUGCGGGUUCCAUAUUUUGCGGUGCUUUCAGAGAUCUGUUUUCCACCUUCCUCUCCCUCCUUCUCCGACCACCCCACCACUGGGCUUCGCUGCUCACCUUCCCGCAUGUGUGUCUCUUUCUGUGUGUGUGCGUGUAUUGAUGCCUCCGUGUCUUGAUUGUGCAUUGGCAUCCAACACCUAAACGCCUUCUUUCCCUCCUCUUAUCGCUGCACACAUCGCCGCAAG
rnacentral:misc_RNA from 1 species